UAUUUGAAUGUUGUGUUUAUUCUACAAAGCUCACUUUAACUUCAUCUCAUUCUCAAUUUCAUGCUCUUUGAGCCAAUACAAUAGAAAAAUAUCAUAUUUCAUUAAAUACCUUAUAAAUGAGCUCAUAUCAAAUUAUUUGUAGAAUUAAAAACUCAAUUUUCAACAUAGUAGAAUAAUGCAAACGAUAAUAUGAAAAAUUAUAAUAGGUACAAGAAUAAAAGCAUUCUACUAGCAUUCUACAUUCGAGUAGCCUACUUAAGCUAGUAGUAGAUUUGAUUUUUAUUGUAAAAUAUAAUACUGUACAUAAAAUUUUUAUAUG